CGCGGGAUAGAGUAGUGGCCCAACUCACCAGUCUCAUAAGCUGGGCCGGCCAAAAACCGGACGCAGGUUCGAAUCCUGCUCCCGCAA
rnacentral:tRNA from 3 species